ACUUAUUAAAUAAUAACCAAUAUAUUUUUAACUUCAAAAGCAUAAAACAAACUACUCUUUUUUCUUAAUAAAAAAUAAUAACUAUACAUACACUGUAAUUUAUUUUUUUUAACAGAAAGAGCCUUAACUUGUUUACCAUAUACUUUAAACCCAAAAACAAAACCACUUAUUAGAGACGUCAAUUCACCAUACAAUUCAAAUACAAACACACAAAACCUUGCCUUCAAUUAGUUAAUAUAAUUCUUAAUCGACAAAACGUGUGGCUAACACUUUAUAGCCUUACCAUAAAUUUUUAUUAAAAAUUUCAUGUCAACAUAUAUAACAAGUCCUAUAUUAUAUAUGUACAUCAAUAAAACUAGAAAAAUACUGUUUGUUUCAUUCAGUACCCUCAAGACUAACAAAAUUAUACCCCACAAAUACAUAUUCUAAUUUUCACUAUUUUCCCAUGUGAUACGGUCAAACAAAAUGACAAAACAAAUGCCUAAAAAGCAUUCACAUAAUGCCAAAUAUUCUCAGUACAAAACAAUUAAAGCCUUUAAAAUGGAGCUCUUGGUACAAGUGUAUUUACACAUAUAAACAAAAUCAUCAUCCACAAAGAAAAAUUUAUCCAUGGUGUUAGACAUACAUAAAUAGUAUAAGAAUAAUUGAUGAUAAAAGUCAUACCAUAAGAUGGAAUUAUUUCACUCAUGGUGUCCCCAAAUCCAAAAUAAGAACCCACUUUGUGAGGUCUGAAACUUUCAAGUGAAGCUUCUCCAAUGACUAUCUUCCUUCCACGUUCAUUUGAAAAUGUCGAAGCUUUGUUAUGCUCUGAAAUUUCAAAGGACAGAACCAGACAGAAGGAUGACUUUUCAUUGUUUAUCAUAGAUCGGGAGGGAUUUUUGCCAAUCAACAAAGUUCGGAGUACACUUGGCGGUGGUUUGUGAAUUCUUGGGGCGGCGAAUUCGUAUGCACACGACGUCGGAAGCGACGAGCGUGGGUGAUCGUGUUGGCGACAGAGUGAGAAUGUCGGAGAAGAUGCGAAUGAGAAAAUGGCAGUGAUAGCUGAAUUAUUGAUUGAUGAGUGAUUUUAGGUUUUGGUUUCUAGAAGGAAAAUUUACAUACAUUACUAACUAUUCCCAUUUUAUUACUUUUAUACUAUGACACGGUUAUUAUUACAUUUAUACUGUUUUUUUUUUUUCUCUCUACUGUGUCAAUUAUUUUUCCAAAACAUUUUAUAAUAAUAAUAAUAAAAUAGGAAAUAAUGAGUAGUUGUGUCUCCCCACAUCAAAAUUUAAUUUUUUUUGUUUUAUUAGAGUGAUUGAUUUGGACGUGAGAUGUGACAACACACUACCCACUAAAGCAACCCUCUCAUCAACUUUAUUUAUUUAUUUAUUUAUUUUAAUUUUAAUUUUCUUUUUUCAUAAAACUCCUUCAUAUUUUCCUCUUUGCCUGUAAAAAAAAUAUGUUUCUCUCUCUCCAUAAAGCCAAACAGAACACCUCGUUUUUUCUUUUCUUUUUUUCCAAACUUUGUGAUCGUAAUUAAUUUAAUUCUAUAUAUAUAUAUGCCUACUCUUUUAGAUACUGUUUUUUGAGAUAAGUGUGUGUAUUAUUUGUUCAUUUUUAAGUUUAGGUUUUUAAUUUAUGAUGAUGAUGAUGAGAGAUCGUAUGGAGAGAUUGGUUGUGUUUCCAUUCGCCAUAGGUUGCAAUUCUGAGUCAAGUGUUGCUCUGGGAAAAAAAUUCUACUACUGUCAACAAUCAACAACAGACACCAAGUGAUGAUCUUGAAGAGAAUAAGCCACCAAUGAAGAUAGACAAGCAUAUAUAUAAAAGAUGCAAAUAGCCGAAAGAAAGUUCAAAAGUCUCACAAAUCUGAUAAGCCGAAAGAAAGUUCAAAAGUCUCACAAAUCUGAUAAGGGAAAGAGUAAAUACCAAGUGAAGAUUGUUCAAUCAACUGAUCUGUUCGAAGACAUAAUUAGGAAAAGGGUUGUCGAGGAUGGGAAUCCAAGUACACCCGAUCGAAAUACUACCAUUCCAAAGUUUUUUUAUGCUUGUUUUUUUUUUUUUUUUUUUUUUUUUUUUUUUUUUUUAUAUUCUGUAGUUUUUU